AACGAACGCUGGCGGCAGGCCUAACACAUGCAAGUCGAGCGCCCUUUCGGGGGAGCGGCGGACGGGUGAGUAACGCGUGGGAAUAUGCCCUUCUCUACGGAAUAGCCUCGGGAAACUGAGAGUAAUACCGAAUACGCCCUAUGGGGGAAAGAUUUAUCGGGGAAGGAUUAGCCCGCGUUGGAUUAGGUGGUUGGUGGGGUAAUGGCCUACCAAGCCGACGAUCCAUAGCUGGUUUGAGUGGAUGAUCAGCCACACUGGGACUGAGACACGGCCCAGACUCCGACGGGAGGCAGCAGUGGGGAAUCUUAGACGAGGGGGGCAACCCUGAUCUAGCCAUGCCGCGUGAGUGAUGAAGGCCUUAGGGUUGUAAAGCUCUUUCAGCUGGGAAGAUAAUGACGGUACCAGCAGAAGAAGCCCCGGCUAACUCCGUG
rnacentral:rRNA from 1 species